rnacentral:rRNA from 1 species
GAUUAACGUUGGCGGUGUGUAUUAGGUAUGCAAGUCGAGCGAUUUUGGUUUCUCGCAAGAGAAAUCAGAGUAGCGGCGCACGGCUGAGUAACACGUAGGAAUCUGCCCUCGAGUGGGGGACAGCUCGCCGAAAGGCGGGGUAAUACCCCCAUAUUCUCACGACGCAAGUUGUGAGGAAAGAGCGUAACUGCUCGCUCAAGGAUGAGCCUGCGGCCUAUCAGGUAGUUGGUGAGGUAACUGCUCACCAAGCCUAUGACGGGGUAGCUGGUCUGGGAGGACGAUCAGCCAGAGGAGCAUUGAGAUACGGGCGCCACUCCUACGGGAGGCAGCAACCAAGAAUAUUGCGCAAUGGGCGAAAGCCUGACGCAGCGACACCGCGUGUAGGAUGAAGGCUCUCGGGUCAUAAACUACUGUGGCGAGGGAAAAAUAAAUGAUGGUACCUCGCUAGAAAGUGGCUGCUAACUAUGUGCCAGAAGCCUCGGUUAGACAUAGGCCACGAACGUUAUCCGGUUUUACUGGGCGUAAAAGGACACGUAGGCGGUUCGAUAAGUCGUGCCUUAAAGCCCGUCGCUCAACGACGGGAUGGGUGCGAUACUGUUGAGCUGGAAUUUUCUUCAGGGGAAUGGAACGCUCUUUGUAGCGGUAAAAUGCGUUGAUAAAAAACGGAACACCAAAUGCGAAGGCAAUUCCCUKGGAAGAUUAUUGACGCUGAGGUUCGAAAGCAUGGGGAGCGAAAGGGAUUAGAGACCCCUGUAGUCCAUGCCCUAAACGCAUGCCUGCUAGUCUUUCUCCGUUUGGGGAGAGGCGUAAGCAAACGCGUUAAGCAGGCCGCCUGGGGAUAACGAUCGCAAGAUUAAAACUCAAACUGAAUAGGCGGGGACCCACCCAACGAGUGGAACAUGUGGCUCAAUUCGAAACAAACCGAAAAACCUCACCAAGGUUUGACAUGAUAUUGGAAUYUCGGCGAAAGCCGAGCCCUCCAUAACGCAAGUUAUGGACAGUACCACAGCUGCUGCAUGGCUGUCGUCAGCUCGUUCCGUGGGGAGU